rnacentral:tRNA from 1 species
GGGGGUGUGGCUCAGGGGCAGAGCACUUGCCUGGCAAGCGUGAAGCCCCAGGAUCAAUCCCCAGGACCACCA